rnacentral:rRNA from 1 species
CAGUCGCCGCGGGAAUACGGAGGGUGCAAGCGUUAUCCGGAUUUAUUGGGUUUAAAGGGUCCGUAGGCGGAUCUGUAAGUCAGUGGUGAAAUCUCACAGCUUAACUGUGAAACUGCCAUUGAUACUGCAGGUCUUGAGUAAAUUUGAAGUGGCUGGAAUAAGUAGUGUAGCGGUGAAAUGCAUAGAUAUUACUUAGAACACCAAUUGCGAAGGCAGGUCACUAAGAUUUAACUGACGCUGAUGGACGAAAGCGUGGGGAGCGAACAGGAUUAGAUACCCGAGUAGUCCCUGUCUCUUAUAC